CAAAUUUAUUGUAGUGAAGUCAUCUUUUUUAUUAAAGAUAUUUGUAUUUCCUUAUUGGACCUUCAUGUUUAGUUCACUUCAAGAUCUUGUUGGACCCCCUCAUCUGGAUUAUCAAGGUGAUUUUUAUUAGUUACAACAUUAAUCUCACAAUCCUUUGCUGCCUACUACUACCACUGUGAUGAGGCUGAAGUUGGGAAACACUAAUUAACUUAAGAAUAUUAUUGGUUCUAAAGUAAGCAUAAAGACUAAUAAAUAUAAAGCCUCUUCAAUAAAAGGAUUAGAUUUGAUCUUAACCACAUCUUCAAUGAGAUACACACAACCGUAUAUAAAAAAAAUAAAUGCAUUUUUAGACAUAAUUCUAAUUCCUUAGAUUUGUUGGUCCUCAACCAACUGGUUGGCUUAGCUUUCCCUAAUAUCUAGUAUCAAGGCUUCAUCCCAAAUGUUUGAAUGCCACUCAAAUAAGUUAGACUGAAUUGAUAGAUCAUUCUUGCUUUCAUUUUUCCCCCCUUUAUUUUACAAGUAUUUUGAUUUGUUACCUCUGUACUUGGCUGAUUACAACUGUGAGAAUCUUACUCAUCAGUAACUAUGGUAAUAAGAGUAAAAGUACAAGUUGUUUAUAAGUAUUUAUUAAUUACUAGAGUACCAUUACAGUGUGGGUAUGAAUAUGUUUGAUAAUUUAGUAAAUUGAUAAGCUUCAUAAACAUAUAUUUAGACUCGCUGUGAAAUUAGGCCCCAUGGUUUAAGCCACUAGGAUUUUUGAUGGCUUGGGAUGAGGAUUGAACUGAAAUAGUUUCAUUUUGUUUCGACAUUUGCCUAGAGGUUAAAAGUGAUGUAAGCUAUGUUGAGAAGAUUGUGAACACAUUUACAUAAUAAUACAAACCCACAGGGUCUCAUUUCGUAACAGGUCUAAAUAUAUGUUUAUUAGACACAUGGAUAUGUUUCCAUGUACAUAUUAUGUUUAUAGGUAGCCAACUCUACAUCUGUGAGACUGUUGUAUGCAAAGACUGCAUUAAAGAAUUGGUCAGUAGUAAAUAACUAUGCAUGGAGUGUCAUGAGACAGGCUUUUUAUAUACAUUUUGUUCGUGAAGAAUUGACACAUGGUUUAUGGAAUCGGCAGAUUUCUUUUCCCUUAGACAUUUUCACUGAGGCAGUGUAGGACAAAGUUAUUUAGAUAUAAGGUGAACAAAAUAAAAUAAACCAUACAAAGCAAAAAAAAAAACAAACAAAAUAUAUAUAUAUGUGGACUACAACAUCGCCUGUUGUUUCUAUAAGUCAUAUUUCUGAGUGAAUUAAAUAAAUCUGAAAAUAAGCGUCUCACACUUUGCACUGGUUUUAACAUUCAGUUUAGUGUCGCUGGCACCACAUAGGAGCAAAUAUCAAAAGCUGACGAGAAACUCCUCCGACCAGAACACUGUAUAUAUUUGAAAGCAUGCAGCAGGCAGCAGCUUCUCAGUGCCACCACAUAUUCUGAUAGAAGGCAAUGGAAAGGCAGUAUUGGUCAUCCCGUUUGAAGCGAGGAGCAGUCCAUCAGCGAACCCCUUUGAAUGUGACUAUGUGACAACCAGCAUCUCCAAGGAACACGAGCACAGCUGUUACAGCCAGCAGAACACAACACAUUUUAGGCAGUUUAGCACAUGUCCAUUAAGUGUGCCAGACCUUUUACCUCUUUGUUCUCUUAGUUGUGCUGGCUUUCUGAGUUUGGUUCUCUUGGAAGUGACUGUAAUGGUAUGGUUGGGGAAUGAGUGUGAAACAUGGAUGGGAAAACUGAGUCCUGCCAGGCUGGUUCAUGCCCUUCUAUCACCAGGCACUUUGCUGCUAGCUGUGUUGCUUGAUGUCACCACAAGUUAUUACUGCUUUAAUGCUCUAUUCAAGCUGGAAGCUGGCUAUAUCUUUAUAUGCCCCCAGCCAUUCUUCACUGUGUAAAACUUUCAUCUUUUAUAAUCUAGUUGGCAGAGAUUAGUGGGUUUGUUCGUUUUUUUUUUUUUUUUCCUCCCUAUCUUUUCCUUUCUUCUAUCAUAUUUUGUUCCUAAGGAACAGUCAUAAAAACAUUUCUAACAUUUCUGUAGCUGAAACUAUUGUACUUAAAGUAUGUACUCAUAUUCUAAAGAGUACUGCUAGAAUAAUUCUUCAGCUUUUCCACUCCCACUUCUCUGAUCUGUUGUAUUUUCUAUCUAGUCCUUCCCUUUGCCAAUGUCUCAUCUCUGCUGAUAGAUUCUUGGCACAGUUAAUGUCUCUGAAUUUGAAUGUAAAAUGAUUACUUUCUCUCUCAUCAUUUUAUCAACUUCACCUCUUUAACUAGUUUCUCCAUCUUAUUAUUUCUUUAUAUUUGGAAGCUUUCACUAAUAUUUAAAUUAUUUCUUCUAGGUCAUUACCUUUCCCUGUUUAAGUUUUAUCUAUAGUUGAGGGGAGUGAGUGAAGAUACUCACCCAUGUCAAAAUCAAUUCUGUAUCAUAUCAAAAGUUAGUGAAAUACAUUUUAACAACUUCAAUGCUUAUGAAGGUAAUUUUCUUACAUUAAGUGCUAUUUUUUUAUCCUUUAAUACUGUACAAAGGAGUGAUGAGAAUGAAUGUUUUACUAAAGGCAAACUGGUAAAUUUUAUAAGCUCCAAUGUCAAAAGCUGUGAUAGUUCCAUUUAACCCAAGCAAAAUGGUUUCACUGACUUCUCACAAAACUAAAAACAAAAAAAAUUUCUUUUUUGCCUUAUUUGUCUAAGAAUGAUUUUUAUAUUUCUUUUUCUUGUCAAGCUGUUUGGUUUGCGUCAUAUUAUCAUUGUUAUAUUAACUCUAAUUUUCAUGUAAUAUAAUUCUGUAUUAUAUUUCAAAGUUUAAGAAUUGUUAAGACUAUAUCUAGGUAGCUUGCAUUUUUAUUUUGUUUCUUGCUUGCAAAGUGAACCAUCACUUAGUUUUUUUUUCUGUUCCUUCUAUAAUUACUCACCAUGAUUUUCAUUCAUGCAAAUCAUAGAGUUGUCAUGAUAUUUUGUCCAACAUCAAAGACUAGCUUCUGUUCAUUUAGAGCCUGUUCUGGUUAAAUGAUUUCUUCAUCUUUAUUCAGGCUGUUACAUUAUUCAUCAACCCAGAUUACUCUCCACAUUUUCUCACAGCACAAGGUCCUACCUCUUCCCAUAUUAAUGGUUUAUUCCCGCUUCAUAAUUCUCUGUGGAAUUGUUGGGUUUCAAGUGCUGUUCUAAAUUGCCAAACACAUUCUUUCUCACACAUUUCUCUCUCUUUUCUCUCACACAUACACACACACAAGUAAUUUAUUUUAAUUUAAUGAAAUAGUCAUUUACUCAUUUCAAUCAUUGAAGGACAACUCCCUCCCUCCCUCUGUGUGUGUAUGUGUUUUAAUGUCCACUUUUCCAUAUUUGAAUGUCUGUGGGUAACUUUGAAGGCACAGAAAUAUGUGACUUUCUGUCUUGUACAUUUAAAUGCACAUACGAAAAAAAAAAAAAAAAUCUAAAAAAGAUGUUCACGUGUAGGACUCAAUAGAGAUGAUGGCUCCCAGUCGCCUGCUGUUUGAAUGACAUCUGCAUAGAUAAUUUCAAGAACACAUUAAUACAGAUAUUUAAAAAUCAUCAUUAAUAUCAACUUAAGAAUCAUCAAAAUCAAAGGGGAAGGUUUCUCAGUCAUUGCUCGACUUACUAAAAUAUCAGUUAAAUCUCCUAACCACCUUCUACCAUCAUUGAAUGGAUAAAUAAACUCGACUGCAAAAGACAGUAUAAUAUACUCCUUGAUACACUCCGAAAAUGAGGUGAGAUUAGAUGAUGAUGAUGAUGAUAGCUUGAUUACAAUUACAACUCCUACUGACAAGCUCUACCCUUAGAGAAAGCCAAAUAUAAAAUUAUAUUAUACAUUAUUAGAAACUUUAACCGUUUGUCCAUACCUCAAAAAUGUACUUGGCUAUAGAUAUCAGCAGGAGAUUGUUGAACCUAUCUUUUGUGCGAAAUAGAAUUAUUCCAUAGAUUAUUCAAAUGGUACUUUGAGAAAAAUUGGUUUCAAAGGAAAAUCAAAAUAUUUUUUUUAGUUGUUUCAGUCUUCAGUUGAACAAACUGACCUCAGGACUUAUUCUUUGUAAACCUAGUGCUUACUCUAUCAGUCUCUUUUGCUGAACCAUUAAAUUACAAGGACGUAAACACACCAACAUCGGUUGUCAAGUGAUGGUGGGAGGACAAACACACACACAUAUAUACAUACAUACAGGCUUCUUUCAGUUUCCGUCUACCAAAUCCACUCACAAAGUUUUGGUUGGCUCGAGGCUAUAGUAGAAGACACUUGCCCAAGGUGCCAUGCAGUGGGACUGAACCCAGAAUCAUGUAGUUGGUAAGAAAGCAGCUUACCACACAGCCACUCCUGCGCCUAUAUAUAGAAUAAAGUUCACAGAAAAUUAAAUAAAACAAACAAUCUGGUUGAAAAACUUUUGCCAGGUCCUGUCCAUUUACUGCAGUCAUUCAAAGAGUCCACCAACCAGACAAUUCCCAUAGAGACUUCUCUCUUGACCAUAAACAUACUGAGAGUUUAUGCUGCUAUAUACUCUGCCAUUUGCAGCAUUUUGUUUCCCGAACUAUUGCAAUACAUCCAAUAAAAUGCAUAAUGGUGUUGGACUAAACCAUCAGCUUUGAAUAGAUUAACGAACACGACUUGCAUUAUAUGGAAUAGUUUUACUCUUUGUACAUAUUAAUGUGCUUGUGUGUGUCUAUGUAUGUAUAUAUGUGUGUGUGUGUGUAUGUAUGUCUAUAUAUACUCACACACAUACACACUCAGAUAUUUAUGGCUCGUGUACUCACUACGUCCUACAGAACUUGAAGCCUCCCUCUGUCUUUUUUUUCAUCAUUCUGCUACGCACUCUAUACUUCUCUACCCUUCAUUCAUUCUGUGCCAAGGUCUGGAGCCACCUUCAUUUUCCUUCCUGAUGUAAAGUUAACACCAUAUUUGGUAAUUUCUUCAGUAACACCAACAAUAACUGCAGCAGGACUUAUUCUUUGUAAACCUAGUGCUUACUCUAUCAGUCUCUUUUGCUGAACCAUUAAAUUACAAGGACGUAAACACACCAACAUCGGUUGUCAAGUGAUGGUGGGAGGACAAACACACACACAUAUAUACAUACAUACAGGCUUCUUUCAGUUUCCGUCUACCAAAUCCACUCACAAAGUUUUGGUCUCUCUCUCUUUCUUUCAUUCAUUCAUUCAUUCAUUCAUUAUUUACAGCACAAGCCUGCACAUUUCUUUGUGUGCCUGUGCAUAUGUGGUUGUAUGUUUGUGGUCGUGUGUGUGUUGCUUAUCCUUUAUGACAGUGUAUGUGUGUAAAGUAAUUGACAAACAGAAGUGAUUAUGACUGUGUGUGUGUGUGUGUGUGUGUGUGUGUGUGUGUGUGUGUGUGGUGGGGGGGGGGCGGUUAUGCAAGUAGUUGUCUCUGGUCAUAUUCAUUUGUAUAUACCUUCUUGUAGCUGUCCUGUAAAAGUCAUUCCUCACCUGUCAGCUUCACUUGUCAACAUCACAUCAUUAUAAUUAUUACAGAAAGCAGAAAUAACUAGUUUGAGAUAGAUGGAAUGGCAGGCUCUCUGCAGCCUAAUCACAAACAUGGUUAACCAUCAAGCUAUGGAUAUGUAGUUCACAAAAGUUGUCUUGUUUCACCUAUUUUAGUUUCAAAUUGAUGUUUAUAAAGUCUAACAUUAUUAUUGUAAUUAUAAAUGAUGAUAAUCCUUCGUACUAAAGGCACAAGGCCUGAAAUUUUGUGGGAGGGGACUAGUUGAUUACAUCGAUCCCAGUUUUUCGCUGGUAUUUAACUUAUCGAUCCCGAAAGGAUGAAAGGCAAAGUUGACCUCAGUGGAAUUUGAACUCAGAACGUAAAGACGGAUGAAAUGCCACUAAGCCUUUUGCCCAGCAUGCUAAUGAUUCUGCCAGCUCACCAUCUUUAUAAAUAAUAAUAAUAAUAAUAAUAAUAAUAAUAAUAAUAAUGUGUUGUGCAUUGACAGAAUCAUAAAUGGUGGCCAAAAUACAUUGUAGUAUUGAAUUAUGGCUCUUUGCAUUCUGUGUUCAACUCCUGUCAUGGUCAUCUUUGUUUUUUCAUUCUUCUGGGGUUAGUAGAGUAUCAGUCAAGUACUGCAGUUGACAUGAUGGACUGUUCCCUUUCCUCAAAUUUGAGACCCUAUGGCCGUGUAAGAAAUUGCUAUUAUUAUUGAAGUGGCAAGCUGGAAAAAUCAUUAGCACUUUGGAUGAAAUGCUUAGCAGUAUUUCUUGCUACUCAUUGCGUCCUGAGUUCAAACGUCGCUGAGGUUGACUUUGCCUUUCAUCCUGUUGGAGUUGAUUAAAUAAGUACCAGUUAAACAUUGGGGUUUCAGACCUUGUGCCUAUAGUAGAAAGGAUUAUUAUUAAUAUAAUGAAGGCAGCAAGCUGGCGGAAUCGUUAGCAUGUUGGGUGAAAGGCUUAGCAAUAUUUCAUCGUUGCUACAUUCUGGGUUCAAAUUCUGCCGAGGUCGACUUCGUCUUGCUUCUUUUUGGGGUUGAUAAAUUAAGUAUCAGUGAAACACUGGGGUUGAUGUGACCAGCUAGUCUCCUCAUCUCCCAAAAUUUCAGGCCUUGUGCUUAUAGUAGAAAGGAUUAUUAUUAUUGUUGUUCUAAGAUUGACUCCCAAUAUAGGAGCAAGGUUUGCAAUUUUGAGCAUGAAUAUUGUUGUAGACUAGGAUAAUUGCAUCACUCACCUGGUACUUUAUUCUAUCAAUCUCAGAAAGAAAAACUGAGUUGAUCUUGAUGGCGUUUGAACUCGGACUGUCAAGGUACACAAGGCACUUUGUCAUUCUCUUGAUUCUUCCAGUUUUGUUCAUGAAUAUUUAUUACUAGGGAGUAAAAAGUUACAUGUAAAAAUCUAACAGUUUGCAUUUCUUUGUUGGAUACCAGUGGUCAGUUUUUGGUAAGAAGCAUAUAUACACCAUGUGGACAAGCCUCUUGCCCUUGCCUCCCACAUAAUUGGUACUAUGUAAAUCCUGCCUGGGUUGACUUUAGAAGUCAAUGAAAUAAAGAGCUGUCAAAUCUUAGGGGUCAGUUUUCUGUUGACUGUCCCACCGUUUCUCCAUAAAUGUAACCUUCUACUGCCUACAUGAGUAAAUCAUCAUCAUCAUCAUCGUUUAACGUCAGCCUUCCAUGCUGGUAUGGGUUGGACGAUUUGACUGAGGACUGGUGAAACCGGAUGGCAACACCAGGCUCCAAUCUAAUUUGGCAGUUUCUACAGCUGGAUGCCCUUCCUAAUGCCAACCACUCAGAUUAUGGAAAAGAAAGUGGUAGAUUGAUUGGAAUUGGUGGAGCUUUAAGUAUUUUUAUUUGCACCCUUUUGUAUUCUUGGUUCAAUUCCUGCUGAGGUUGACUUUGCCUUUCACUCUCUUAAGUUUGGUAAAAUAAAGGACAAGUGAAAUAACGGUGUCAGUUUGACCGACUAAGUCCCUACCCUACAAAUUUGUGGCCCUGUGCCAUUGUGAGAAAUUAUUAGGCUGGAAGAACUACAGAACUGGUAGAACAUCAGAUUAAAUGCUUUUGCAGGGUUUAAACAUGUUUCUAUUUUCUGAGUUCAUUCCCCACUGAGGUCAACUUUGGACCAAUAAAACAAAGUACCAGUUGUAAACUGGGGUUGAUUAAGUCAACUAGUUUCCUCUCCCUCCCUCAAAUCUUAUAACAUUGUCAUCCGUUAUGGCAUUUCUGUGUUUUAUCUUAUCAAAUGCUUGCCCUCCACUUCAGAAUGGGAUGGUCAGUUAGUUUUCCUGUGACAAUGUUAGUGCAAGAGUACUCAGUAAAGACUGGCAAACUGAACCAGCCUCCCAAUAAAUAUAUAUAUAUAUAUAUAUAUAUAUAUAUAUAUAUAUAUUCUUGAGACUCAGUCCUUUAGUUGGGUAAUUCCAAAGGGAUAGGUUGGCAGAGAUAGUUCUCAUUUCACAGCUUAGAGUCUCUAUUUAUUGCAAAUGAGUUCACUCAUACUCUCUCUCCACAGCUCCCUGCUUGGUAUAAAUGACCCUUUAUAAUUCAUACCUUGUCUUUCAUAUCCUCUUAGUACGGAAGUUAGCAGUCAAGAGGUAGAAGUAAAUUUAUUGAACUAAGUUACUUUAUCUUGCCCAUUUAGUUUAUCUGUUGUUGAUGUUGUUAUUGUGGUGCAGUGACUGUAAAGGUGGUGCAUUUAGUUAUGUUCUUUUUAAACCUCCCACCACCGAGGAAACUCAGUGAAUAUAUAAUUUUAUCAUGCAGUCAUUGUAGUUUCACUUUAAAAGUAAUCAAUUGCUUCUCAGCGAAUAGCCAUAGUUAAUUAGCUGACUGGCUUUACUUCUUCAACUGGGCUAUAAAACAAUAUAAGAGAUGGUAGGUGGGGUUGUAAAGAAAAAGGAAGGUUAGAUUGGUGUGACCAUGUGUUAGCUAUGUGACAGGUGGUGAGAAUGUGUGAGCCUGUAAUAUAUAUAUAUAUAUAUAUAUAUAUAUAUAAAAUGAAUGAUCUUUGUAUAUAUUGGUAUAUCGCAGUUGGACAUGACUGAUACAAUUUAAUCAUGAAAAUGAUGUUAUGGUUUACAGGCUGCCUAUUUUGUUGUUUGUAUUUUUGUUUACUUCAACUGACAAAUAAAAUAUAAAACCCUGAAUUA